UGUAUAAAUAGAAAUUGUUUUCUUUAAAACCCAGCUCCUGCCGAAACCGGUGUGGCUCAGAGGAUAGAGCGUCGGUCUGUGGACUGAAAGGUCGCAGGUUCGAUUCCGGUCAAGGGCAUGGACCUUGGUUGCGG